UACGAAGGAGGCUAGCGUUGUUCGGAAUUACUGGGCGUAAAGCGCGUGUAGGCGGUUCGGUAAGUCUGCUGUGAAAAGUCCAGGGCUCAACCCUGGGAUGCCGGUCGAUACUGCCGGACUAGAGUUCGGAAGAGGCGAGUGGAAUUCCCGGUGUAGCGGUGAAAUGCGCAGAUAUCAGGAAGAACACCAAUGGCGAAAGCAGCUUUCUGGGACGGUACUGACGCUGGAGAACGGCGAAAAGCGUGGGGGAGCGAACAGG
rnacentral:rRNA from 1 species